AGCAGUCGCCGCGGGAAUACGUAGGGCGCAAGCGUUAUCCGGAAUUAUUGGGCGUAAAGAGCUCGUAGGCGGUUUGUCGCGUCUGCCGUGAAAGUCCGGGGCUCAACCCCGGAUCUGCGGUGGGUACGGGCAGACUAGAGUGAUGUAGGGGAGACUGGAAUUCCUGGUGUAGCGGUGAAAUGCGCAGAUAUCAGGAGGAACACCGAUGGCGAAGGCAGGUCUCUGGGCAUUAACUGACGCUGAGGAGCGAAAGCAUGGGGAGCGAACAGGAUUAGAUACCCCAGUAGUCCCUGUCUCUUAUAC
rnacentral:rRNA from 1 species